GAAUUUUCGGCAAUGGGGGGAACCCUGACCGAGCAAUGCCGCGUGAACGAUGAAGAUCUUCGGAUUGUAUAGUUCUGUGAUUAGGAAAGAAUAGCAUAACGAGGAACUGAGUUAUGUAUGACGGUCCCUAAUUAGCAAGCCCCGGCUACCUAUGUGCCCGCAGUCGCGGGAAGACCUAGGGGGCGGGCGGUAUCCGGAAUUAUUGGGCGUAAAGGGUGCGUAGGCGGUUUAUUAAGUCUGGCGUGAAAUACCACAGCUUAACUGUGGAGGGUCGUUGGAAACUGGUAAACUUGAGUACAGUAGAGGUAAGUGGAAUUCCAAGUGGAGCGGUGGAAUGCGUAGAUAUUUGGAGGAACACCAGUGGCGAAGGCGGCUUACUGGGCUGGAACUGACGCUCAUGCACGAAAGCGUGGGGGGCAAACA
rnacentral:rRNA from 1 species